GGGGAUGUAGCUUAAGUGGUAGAACACUUACCUGGCAUGCCUGAGGCCCUGGGUUUGAUCCCCAGUGCUAGCA
rnacentral:tRNA from 1 species